rnacentral:rRNA from 1 species
GUCCACGCCGUAAACGGUGGGAACUAGUUGUAGGGGCCAUUCCACGGCUUCUGUGACGAAGCUAACGCAUUAAGUUCCCCGCCUGGGGAGUACGGUCGCAAGACUAAAACUCAAAGGAAUUGACGGGGGCCCGCACAAGCGGCGGAGCAUGCGGAUUAAUUCGAUGCAACGCGAAGAACCUUACCAAGGCUUGACAUAUAGAGGAAACGUGCAGAGAUGUACGCCCCGCAAGGUCUCUAUACAGGUGGUGCAUGGUUGUCAG